GUUUGCCACCGUGAGCCUCCUCCCCAUCACCGGUCGUUGGGAGAUGUGAGGGCCGCCGUGAUGGGGAUCGAACUCGGCUGCAGUGUAGGCCUUAGAGUCGGCUCAUGGAGCUUCACUACAUCACUGGAGGUGCGCCCGUGGCCGUGGAAGGGGGAAUCGGCUAGCAUGGCAGCGUCAUUUGCUCAUCGGAGCUGUGCAUUCGCGGUGGCACCGCUCUUCGCCGUGGUCAGGCCGCUCGGGUCUCCUUACAGCAGUGAGGUCACUAGAAACCCGAAGGCUAAUUUGGUGAUGUACCU
rnacentral:lncRNA from 7 species